UGAAUGAAACAAGACAUCAAGCAUAAAUUCUAUAUGAUUCUAUUUACAUGGAAUUUAAGAACAGGCAAAACUAAUAGGUUAGCUUUCAGGGGCAAGUAUUGACUGGGAAGGGCACAUGGAGCCUUCUGGUAUACUGCAAAUAUUUUCCAUCUCAAUCUGGGCAGUAGUUAAAUGGUUAUAUGUCUAUGUAAAAAUUCAUCAAGCUGUAUACAUAAGAGUCUUAAGAUUUGUGCACUUUAUUAUUUGUAGACUAUAUCUACUAGAAGAGAAAAAAAAAAGUCUUGAGAAGAGACAUAAGCAUUUUGGGGUCAGCCUCACCUUUCCAUCUGCCUUUUCCAACAAAGGGAUGGAGACGGAGGCCAAAUGAGCACCAUCCAAGUCAGCUCCUUCUGAAACAGAGACAAAAAUAACUACAUCUCAAGUAUAAGAACAUACUUUCCCCUUUUUUUUUUGGGGAAAGGCACAGGCUUUUUUCACAUUACCAGCCAGAGGGAAUCUUUCUCAAACUUUCCAUAGAGAUUCUCCCUUGAGCAGGCACCAAACAUGGACAUUUUCUACCAGAGAAAAACAUGCUGGGGAGUUAUAAGCCUCUGGAACGAAAGCGUUGGGAAGGAAAUGAUGUAGAUCCCCCUCCCUCACCUGGGCUCCUCCCAGUCCUCCUGGAGCCAUGUUCCAGUGGCUAUAUGUUGUCAUCAGGAGAGUGCUAAUCAGAGGGACUGCAAGGAUGGAAGACAAGGGCAGGAGAGUGGACUGGGUCAGACAGUUGCCAGGGUCCAGUCCACACUGAGCACUGGGCCUUUCCCAUCUGGUGGGAAGAAAGGUUUUGAUUCUUCAUCCCUCAUACAAAUGGAAGGAAGUCACAGACAGCUUAAAAAAAAAAAAAGGUGUUUAAAGCAAUGUAUACAUUGUGGACAGUGAACGAAGCAUCUCAAUUCUGUGUGGGUCUGUCCAUAUAAAGAUGAAGGAGCCUCAUUUUCCAGCUGCACUGCCUCCCUCCUCUCUCCUAGCUCCUCUUUCCUCCUGUCAUCUCUUUGUCCAGCUUCUUCAUUUUCCUUCUCAUCAUCUGAAAGCCUUGAGAACAAAUUUUUAGGAAGUACCUGUGUAGGGCAGGGUACUUGACAACUUUACCAGGAAGGUGUUAUUUUUCAGGUGAGGACACCAGCUUUAGGGGAGUGAAGUGAUUAGCUUGAGGUCAUGCACCUAAGAGAUGUCAGAGCCAGAGUUUGCAUCUAGGCUGGUGAGACUCUGUGUGGGCUCUGUCAUGGGGUUCAGUUGCCUUAAGUCUCCUUUUCUUGAGAAAGACAUUGCUGGAUUGUUAUAUCCUAUCCUGUCUCUCAAGAUAAGCAACAUUUUAGUAAAAGAUAUUAUUUUAUUUUAUUUGCUUUUUAGGGCCGUACCCAAGGCAUAUGGAAGUUCCCGGGCUAGGGGUCAAAUCGGAGCUACAGCUGCUGGCCUAUGCCACAGCCACAGCAACUGUGGGAUCCAAGGCGCAUCUGCAACCUACGCCACAGCUCAUGGCAAUGCCGGAUCCCUGACCCACUGAGUGAGGCCAGGGAUCAAACUUGCACCUCAUGGAUUCUAUUUGGAUUCGUUUCCACUACGCCACAAAGGGAACACCCUGAAAUACUUUUAAAAAUGAAAAUUAAUACAAAAUCUGUGAUGAAAAAUGUAAAUCUUUUGAAUAAAGACAGGAUCAGUGUUAGCAGUUUUUCAUUUUGCUUGGGCUCUAAUGUGACACCAUGUUGACUUAUUCCUCGGGUCCUUAUUUGGGCCCAUUGCUCUCCUUUGCCCAUGUUCUUGUCCCUUGCUCCUUCCGAUGGAUAAUAUUGUAUGCCCCCACCUUUCAUCUCAGUGUGAGUAACUCCAAAUUCUACAUGUCCAGCUCUGGGCAUGCUUCUCUUGGGUAUGUGUCUUUUUUUUCUUUUUUUUUUUUUUAACAACAGAAAUGUGUUUUCUCGAAGUUUUGGAGGCCCAAAGUAAGAAGUUGAGGUGUCAGUGGGGCCUCACUUUCUCCCAGGGCUCAAGGAGGAGAAGCCUUUUGUUUCUUCAAGCUUCUGUUCACUUCAGGAGUUUGGGGUACAUGUCUUGUGUUUCCACUGACCUUUUGGAAAGCUCCGCCUGAACUCUGGUGACCUAAAGUCAACUUUUCCUCAACUAAGCUCACCCUUCCUCCCAUCCUGUCCUCAGGUCUGCUCCUGUCAAUGUCAGCAGCAGCCUUCUAGUCACCCGGCUCUCCCCUCAUUCCUAUUUCCAACAGCCAAUCUGCUGCCCACCCUUGUUUAUUAUCAAGUACCUCCUACAACUGCCCUUUCUUAUCCAAAAGCCCAGACAGACUAUGCCUGAACUGGCACUUGCUUGGGGUGGGAAGGCACAGAAGCAAGAACUUAAGCAUAAUCAUUUGUCUGAGGACCAGAGCUGUAGUGAGGGGCGUAGAAAGGGAUGGGCUUACUUAGAUCUGUGCAGACAGGGCAAGCAGAGGUUGGAGAAAGAACUAAGCACCACGUUGUUGAAAUAUCUUCUCAAUCUUUGAUUCUGUAAGGGAACAUAUAGGAUGUUCCAUGCUAUCUUCACUUGCUACAUGCUAGGGAGACAAAGAUUGAAAAUCAUUUCAGUUCUUGAGAAGCUCACAAUCUGGUGGGAAAGACAGACCCACAAAUAAACCCCACAGGAGCAUGCAGUUUGGGGUAACUGAGGAGGAAGUCACCAACUGAAGAUGAAAAGAUGGGCUAGGAAAGUUGCCCAGAGGAAAAGAUACUGAGCUGAACUUCAGUGUUGAAUGAAGGAGAUGAUUGAUGUCACUGGUGAUGAUGUUAGUCAUUAUGAAGAAGAUAGUGAAAAUCACCAAGGUGAUAAUUAUGCACAGGGAGACUCCAUCAAAAAGAUGGAGGUGAUAGGGCUGAGGAACGCAAACCACCUUGGUACCUCUGAUGUAAUGGAUUGGGCAGUGAUCCCAAACCAGUCCAGGAGGCCACACUGUGACUUCAGGUGUCUUUUCAUAGUCAUGGCUUAUGAUUCAAGAUAUAGUGUACCAGGAGUUCCCCUUGUGGCUCAGCAGUAAUGAACCCGACUAGUAUCCAUGAGGACAUGGGUUCAAUCCCUGGCCCUGCUCAGUGUGUUAAGGAUCCAGCAUUGCUGUGAGCUGUGGUGUAGGGUCGAAGAUUCGGCUGGGAUCUGUUGUUGCUGUGGCUGUGGCAGGCACAUCUGCUCUGUGUCCAGAGAGCUUGUGGAAGAUUAAAAAAGGAGCUGUACUUCCUAUGCCCUUCCAGUUCUAGAAUCACUGACCUUGGUAACUGGUAACUCUAGAGGGGCUUUCUCUCUCCCAAUUGGUCUGUCACAUGCUUGAAGUCUCCCGAUUAACACAUCAUUUCCUUAGCUUGUCUUGCAUCUCCAGAUGCAAGAGUUGGAAGGAUAUAUUAAGGCAUUAUUACUCCCAAACACCCCAGCAUAAGAGUUUAACAGCUUAUUGUCUCCUGGGUCACUGUAUUUUAAUACAAUGAAGGAAAACCAGCUUAAGAGUCUGGACCAUUUCUCAAUGAACAGGAUUGGGUGAGGAUGUGUUACAGAAGGGUUGGUAGCUUUGGGACCCCCAAAGCUUGAGGAUGAAGUCUGCAGGUGAUGGGAUCUGAGGAAGCCACUCUAGGACUCCCUGUUGCUAAUUAGAGUUGACCCUGGGAUAUAACUUCCUGAAGUAUUGAUCCAAAAUUACCCUCCUAGAACUUUGGUUGUUAUUACACCAUUGCCUGGGCCUCUUGCCUUCCACUACCACCUCCUCACCCGCUACCAGUUCCUCCCUGGGUACCUUGCUAAUAAGCUGUGUCCACAAGGGUUCUUAUCUCAGGAAAGUCUCAUCAUAAGGCAAUGGCUCUAACUCAUUCUCCUUUUUCUGGCUUCCUUCAGUCCAAAUCAUUUGGGUACCUGGCCCAUACUGUUUGGGCCAUGUCUAUGAGCCUUGCCUUCCUGGUUUUAGUGUAAGUUCUCUUGUCUCCCCUGGUUUGCCUGGCAGGCACUGGGACAUCCCUAGCACCACCCUUUGUCAGAGGUGGAAGGUCCAGGGGGUCUUUGAGACCAAAAGAGGAAACAGAGGCCCAGAAAAGCUAAAGGGCUUGUUGACUAAAUGAUACUUUCUCUUCUUCUCCCAACUGAGAUGUACAGGGAGACAUUUUGUCCCCAUGAUGAUCUGUUCUUGGUUUAUUGAGAUGAUGAUGAUGAUGAUGAUGGCUCUUGCUAUGUGGUUUCUUGAGGAGUCCCAGGCCUUUGGCGUGUGUAAUUAGGAAACUUCCCGAAGCCUUUCUAAGAGAGAGACCCUAUGUCCUGCAUUUCAGGCAAACUGCCUUCGGCUUAGAGAUAUAGAGUAGUGGGGAAGUCGAAGGGUAGCAAAGUGAAAGGAGAAUCACAGAAGGGUUUGGAGUGGGGUUCAGUGGACACUUGAGCACUUUAUCCCAGCCUUGGGUUGAGGAGGGGGCAGAGAAUGCCUUAAUGAUCAACUAAAGCCUUAGUUGAACGUUGAAGGCAAACAGGAGUUUCCAAGGUAGGGAGAUAGGCAAUUCCCUUCACAUUCAGUGUACAACCAACAUCUGAUGUAAAGAUGAUACUUUUUUAUUUGGAAAGACAUUUUUUUCAUAGAGGUAUAGGAACAGAGUUUGGAGUCAAAUGGGAUUUAAAUCUUGGCUCCAUCACUUUCUUUGCGACUCUGAGCAAGUCCAUUAUACUUUCCAAACCUCAAUACCGUCAUCUGUAAGUUAUGACAAUGAGUCCCACUUCACUGGAUGAUCAUCAAACUCAAAUGAGGCAAAUUAAUUCUUGAUGUGUAUGUGCAGAACCCUUGAGAAAUGGUUGUUGUGGUGUUCACAUAGAGAACUUUUAACUUUCAUCAUUACCAUAUGAAUAUUGAUUAUUCUCUCACUGUGUUCAAGUGUUGAAUGAACCUCAUCUUGUCUUGUGCAUCCUCAUUUAAGAGGACAGGAGAUAACACUGUCCAGAACUAGAAACUCUGAGAGGGUAAGGGACCUGCCCAUUCCUAUCUUAGGUUGAGUUCUCCAAGAAGCAGGCAUUCAGGUGAAGAUAGGAGUGUAAGCACUUUACUUGGGUGGUGAUCCCAGCAAACACUGGCUGGAGAGCAGGAAGUAAGGCAGGCAAGGGAAGUCAGUCCGUGGAGGAUGUGUGUUCAAUCCAUUUACCACCGUAGGCAGCUGGAGCUCUCUCCCACCAGGAGUGCAGUGUAAAGUAAACAUCUCAGGAUAGAAAGCCCAGAAUUAAACCCACACACCUACAGUCAACUAAUUUAUGACAAAGGAGGCAAGAAUAUACAAAGAAGAAAAGACAGCUCCUUCAAUAAGUGGUUAUGGGAAAAGUGGACAGCCACAUGUAAAAGAAUGAAAUUAAACACCUCAUAACACCAUGCACAAAAAUAAACUCAAAAUGGAAUAAGGACCUAAAUAUAAGACCAAAUACUAUAAAACUCUUAGAGGAAAACAUAGGCCAAACAAUCUCCGACAUAAACCACAGCAAUAUCUUCUCAGAUCCACUUCCUAGAGUAAUGACAAUAAAAGCAAAAAUAAACAAAUGGACUUAAUUAAACUUAAAAGUUUCUGCAUAGCAAAGGAAACCCUAAUCAUAACGAAAAGACAACCCACAGAAUGGGAGAAAAUAUUUGCAAAUGAAGCAACUGACAAGGGACUAAUCUCCAAAAUUUAUAAACACAUCCUGCAGCACAAUACCAAAAAACAAACAAACAAACAAACAACCCCAUCAAAAAAGUGGGCAAAAGACAAUUCUCUAAGGAAAACAUACAGAUGG
rnacentral:lncRNA from 1 species